rnacentral:rRNA from 1 species
AGAGUUUGAUCCUGGCUCAGGAUGAACGCUAGCUACAGGCUUAACACAUGCAAGUCGAGGGGAAACGAUAUUGGAAGCUUGCUUCCGAUAGGCGUCGACCGGCGCACGGGUGAGUAACGCGUAUCCAACCUGCCCACCACUUGGGGAUAACCUUGCGAAAGUAAGACUAAUACCCAAUGAUAUCUCUAGAAGACAUCUGAAAGAGAUUAAAGAUUUAUCGGUGAUGGAUGGGGAUGCGUCUAAUUAGCUUGUUGGCGGGGUAACGGCCCACCAAGGUAACGAUCAGUAGGGGUUCUGAGAGGAAGGUCCCCCACAUUGGAACUGAGGCACGGUCCAAACUCCUACGGGAGGCAGCA